CCUGAACGCUGGCGGCGUGGCUAAGACAUGCAAGUCGUACGGGGUAGCAAUACCCAGUGGCGAACGGGUGAGUAAUGUAUCGCUAACGUGCCCCCGAGUCAGGGAUAGCUGCCCGAAAGGGCAGGUAAUACCUGAUAAGACCACGACCGGGCAUCCGGUUGUGCUCAAAGCAGCAAUGCGCUCAGGGAGCGGGCGAUAUCGUAUCAGCUAGUUGGUGAGGUAACGGCUCACCAAGGCGACGACGCGUAGCCGGACUGAGAGGUUGGCCGGCCACAUUGGGACUGAGACACUGCCCAGACUCCUACGGGGGGCUGCAGUAACGAAUCUUCCGCAAUGCACGAAAGUGUGACGGAGCGACGCCGCGUGU
rnacentral:rRNA from 1 species